GAUGAACGCUGGCGGCGUGCUUAACACAUGCAAGUCGAACGAUGAAGCCCAGCUUGCUGGGUGGAUUAGUGGCGAACGGGUGAGUAACACGUGAGUAACCUGCCCUUAACUCUGGGAUAAGCCUGGGAAACUGGGUCUAAUACCGGAUAGGAGCGUCCACCGCAUGGUGGGUGUUGGAAAGAUUUAUCGGUUUUGGAUGGACUCGCGGCCUAUCAGCUUGUUGGUGAGGUAAUGGCUCACCAAGGCGACGACGGGUAGCCGGCCUGAGAGGGUGACCGGCCAAACGGGGCUGGAGCCCGGGCCCGGCCCCCGACGGGGGGCAGCAGGGGGAAAUAUUGCAAAAGGGGCGAAAGCCUGAUGCGGCGCCCCCGGGGGGGGGAUGACGGCUUUCGGUUUGAAACCCUUUUCCAGUGGGAAAAAAGAGAAAGGGAGGGUCCCUGAAGAAGAAGCCCCGGCUACCUCCGUG
rnacentral:rRNA from 1 species